GGAGGAAUAUUGCACAAUGGGCGACAGCCCGAUGCAGCAACGCCGCGUGGAGGACGACGGCCUUCGGGUCGUAAACUCCUUUUGAGGGAGACGAGAAAGGACGGUAUCCCUCGAAGAAGCCACGGCUAACUACGUGCCAGCAGCCGCGGUAAAACGUAGGUGGCGAGCGUUAUCCGGAUUCAUUGGGCGUAAAGAGCUUGUAGGUGGCCUUGUAAGUUGGACGUGAAAGCCCCGGGCUUAACUCGGGGAGGCCGUUCAAUACUGCGGGGCUGGAGGAUGUCAGAGGGGAGUGGAAUUCCUGGUGUAGCAGUGAAAUGCGUAGAUAUCAGGAGGAACACCCGUGGCGAAGGCGGCUCCCUGGGGCAGCCCUGACACUGAGAAGCGAAAGCUGGGGGAGCAAACGGG
rnacentral:rRNA from 1 species